CCUUCGGGUCUAGUGGCGCACGGGUGCGUAACGCGUGGGAAUCUGCCCUUAGGUACGGAAUAACUCAGCGAAAGUUGUGCUAAUACCGUAUGAUGUCUUCGGACCAAAGAUUUAUCGCCUAGGGAUGAGCCCGCGUUGGAUUAGCUAGUUGGUGAGGUAAAGGCUCACCAAGGCGACGAUCCAUAGCUGGUCUGAGAGGGAGACCCCCCACACUGGGACUGAGACACGGCCCAGACUCC
rnacentral:rRNA from 1 species